GACGAACGCUGGCGGCGUGCUUAACACAUGCAAGUCGAACGGAAAGGCCCUGCUUUUGUGGGGUGCUCGAGUGGCGAACGGGUGAGUAACACGUGAGUAACCUGCCCUUGACUUUGGGAUAACUUCAGGAAACUGGGGCUAAUACCGGAUAGGAGCUCCUGCUGCAUGGUGGGGGUUGGAAAGUUUCGGCGGUUGGGGAUGGACUCGCGGCUUAUCAGCUUGUUGGUGUGGUAGUGGCUUACCAAGGCUUUGACGGGUAGCCUGCCUGAGAGGGUGACCGGCCACAUUGGGACUGAGAUACGGCCCAGACUCCUACGGGAGGCAGCAGUGGGGAAUAUUGCACAAUGGGCGGACGCCUGAUGCAGCAACGCCGCGUGCGGGAUGACGGCCUUCGGGUUGUAAACCGCUUUCGCCUGUGACGAAGCGUGAGUGACGGUAAUGGGUAAAGAAGCACCGGCUAACUACGUG
rnacentral:rRNA from 1 species